rnacentral:rRNA from 2 species
UGCUUAGGUCUGAUGUGAAAGCCUUCGGCUUAACCGAAGAAGGGCAUCGGAAACCGGGCGACUUGAGUGCAGAAGAGGACAGUGGAACUCCAUGUGUAGCGGUGGAAUGCGUAGAUAUAUGGAAGAACACCAGUGGCGAAGGCGGCUGUCUGGUCUGCAACUGACGCUGAGGCUCGAAAGCAUGGGUAGCGAACAGGAUUAGAUACCCUGGUAGUCCAUGCCGUAAACGAUGAGUGCUAGGUGUUGGAGGGUUUCCGCCCUUCAGUGCCGGAGCUAACGCAUUAAGCACUCCGCCUGGGGAGUACGACCGCAAGGUUGAAACUCAAAGGAAUUGACGGGGGCCCGCACAAGCGGUGGAGCAUGUGGUUUAAUUCGAAGCUACGCGAAGAACCUUACCAGGUCUUGACAUCUUGCGCUAACCUAAGAGAUUAGGCGUUCCCUUCGGGGACGCAAUGACAGGUGGUGCA